rnacentral:rRNA from 1 species
CCAGAAAGGGACGGCUAANUACGUGCCAGCAGCCGCGGUAAUACGUAGNUCCCGAGCGUUGUCCGGAUUUAUUGGGCGUAAAGCGAGCGCAGGCGGUUAGAUAAGUCUGAAGUUAAAGGCUGUGGCUUAACCAUAGUACGCUUUGGAAACUGUUUAACUUGAGUGCAGAAGGGGAGAGUGGAAUUCCAUGUGUAGCGGUGAAAUGCGUAGAUAUAUGGAGGAACACCGGUGGCGAAAGCGGCUCUCUGGUCUGUAACUGACGCUGAGGCUCGAAAGCGUGGGGAGCGAACAGGAUUAGAUACCCUGGUAGUCCACGCCGUAAACGAUGAGUGCUAGGUGUUAGGCCCUUUCCGGGGCUUAGUGCCGCAGCUAACGCAUUAAGCACUCCGCCUGGGGAGUACGACCGCAAGGUUGAAACUCAAAGGAAUUGACGGGGGCCCGCACAAGCGGUGGAGCAUGUGGUUUAAUUCGAAGCAACGCGAAGAACCUUACCAGGUCUUGACAUCCCGAUGCCCGCUCUAGAGAUAGAGUUUUACUUCGGUACAUCGGUGACAGGUGGUGCAUGGUUGUCGUCAGCUCGUGUCGUGAGAUGUUGGGUUAAGUCCCGCAACGAGCGCAACCCUUAUUGUUAGUUGCCAUCAUUCAGUUGGGCACUCUAGCGAGACUGCCGGUAAUAAACCGGAGGAAGGUGGGGAUGACGUCAAAUCAUCAUGCCCCUUAUGACCUGGGCUACACACGUGCUACAAUGGCUGGUACAACGAGUCGCAAGUCGGUGACGGCAAGCUAAUCUCUUAAAGCCAGUCUCAGUUCGGAUUGUAGGCUGCAACUCGCCUACAUGAAGUCGGAAUCGCUAGUAAUCGCGGAUCAGCACGCCGCGGUGAAUACGUUCCCGGGCCUUGUACACACCGCCCGUCACACCACGAGAGUUUGUAACACCCGAAGUCGGUGAGGUANCCU